UACGAAGGGGGCUAGCGUUGCUCGGAAUCACUGGGCGUAAAGCGCACGUAGGCGGGUUCUUAAGUCAGGGGUGAAAUCCUGGAGCUCAACUCCAGAACUGCCUUUGAUACUGGGAAUCUCGAGUCCGGGAGAGGUGAGUGGAACUGCGAGUGUAGAGGUGAAAUUCGUAGAUAUUCGCAAGAACCCCCGUGGCGAAGGCGGCUCACUGGCCCGGUACUGACGCUGAGGUGCGAAGCGUGGGGAGCAAACAGG
rnacentral:rRNA from 1 species